AACGAACGCUAGCGGCAUGCCUAACACAUGCAAGUCGAACGAGACCUUCGGGUCUAGUGGCGCACGGGUGCGUAACGCGUGGGAACCUGCCCUUAGGUUCGGGAUAACUCCCCGAAAGGGGUGCUAAUACCGGAUAAUGUCUUCGGACCAAAGAUUUAUCGCCUUUGGAUGGGCCCGCGUUGGAUUAGCUAGUUGGUAGGGUAAAAGCCUACCAAGGCGACGAUCCAUAGCUGGUCUGAGAGGAUGAUCAGCCACACUGGGACUGAGACACGGCCCAGACUCCUACGGGAGGCAGCAGUGGGGAAUAUUGGACAAUGGGCGAAAGCCUGAUCCAGCAAUGCCGCGUGAGUGAUGAAGGCCUUAGGGUUGUAAAGCUCUUUUACCCGGGAUGAUAAUGACAGUACCGGGAGAAUAAGCUCCGGCUAACUCCGUG
rnacentral:rRNA from 1 species